UCAAAAUGUAGCUAAGACAGAAAAGCAUCUCCCUUACACUGAGAAGUCAUCCGUGCAAAUCGGGUCAUUUUGAUC
rnacentral:tRNA from 1 species